GCCGUUGGAUAAAAACAAAUCCUGUGGUCAUUAUUCACUAUACAGACCUUUUUUUUAAUUUUAAAAAUCAGAAUACAAACGUGGGUGACUUCAGAUGUAUACAGUACCGUAUAUCCUUGAAGAUCGGUAAACAAUAUCCCGCAUCCUGCUCUCCCGAGAAACUGCUGUUACAAAAAUAGUGCAAGAUAGUCGCUAUCAUCUUCUUUGAAGUUUCUUUGAUUAUUAGCAGGACAAGUAGCGAAGAACAAAUGGCAAGUCAGUCAAAGAUGAAUCCAGGCUUUCAAUUUUGCUUGUUCUGCGCAGGACGAUGUUGUCAGAAAUGAUGCACUUGUUGUAAUUGGUAAUGUUGUUCCAAAUUGUGAGCAAUCGACGAAUGUGCAACAAAACUUGAUGAGAAGAUAAUUUUUGUAACCUGUCAGUAGAAUUUCCAAUUUACAAUAAUAUUACAACAAUUAAAAUGACUUUGGGGCUAAUGUCAUUAUGCAGGCCAUGUCCUAUAAAAAGACAAUUGAGGUUGGGAAAGAGGAUCGAAAUUCAGUUCAGCUUGGAAAGAUGCGUAAGGAUAAUCAAAGUAGCGUGUUGCACAAACUAAGAGUGAUCUUUGCUCACUGGAUGCUGUUAUGGUCCAAAAACAUGAAAAGGCAUCGUGUGUUGAAUAAGAUGGUCCAAUUCAGAAAAAGCAAGCUGAUAGGAGUUUAAUAUAUUUUUUUUAGAAAGUAUUUUGUAAUUGAUCCUACUGUAGUCAAACUUGCUCUUCAGUUCGUAUCUAAGUUGGAUGAAUUCUCUGAAAUACUAAACUGAAUUUACCAUGUCGGUUUAAAGAAUUGAUUUUUUUUGUUGUCAUAUUUUUGUGUAGAAAUUCUGCCUCAAGUGAUGUGAAUGUUUUACUUUUUUGUUUUGCAGUA